GAUGAAGAACGUAGCGAAACGCGAUAAGUAAUGUGAAUUGCAGAAUUCAGUGAAUCAUCGAAUCUUUGAACGCACAUUGCGCCCGCCAGUAUUCUGGCGGGCAUGCCUGUCCGAGCGUCAUUUCAACCCUCGGGCCCCCCUCUGCGGGCGGCCCGGCGUUGGGGCUCAGGCGCCGUCUCUGCUCGGCGCCUGUCCCCUAAAUGCAGUGGCGGCCUCGCCGCUGCCUCCUCCGCGUAGUAGCACAAACCUCGCGGCUGGAAGGCGGCGCGGCCACGCCGUAAAACCCCCCAACUUUACCAAGGUUGACCUCGGAUCAGGUAGGAAUACCCGCUGAACUUAAGCAUAUCAAUAAGCGGAGGA
rnacentral:misc_RNA from 1 species